rnacentral:piRNA from 1 species
UCCCCAAUNUGCCAAGGUACUCUUUGGCCA